ensembl:snRNA U1 U1 spliceosomal RNA
AUACUUGCCUGGCAGGGGCGAUACCAUGAUCAUGAAGGUGGUUCACUCAGGGCGAGGCUCUGCCAUUGCGCUUCGGUUGCACUGACCCUUGCAAAUUGUAAUUGGAAAC